CCUACGGGAGGCAGCAGUGAGGAAUAUUGGUCAAUGGGCGCGAGCCUGAACCAGCCAAGUAGCGUGAAGGAUGACUGCCCUACGGGUUGUAAACUUCUUUUAUAAAGGAAUAAAGUGAGGCACGUGUUCCUUUUUGCAUGUACUUUAUGAAUAAGGAUCGGCUAAAUCCGUGCCAGCAGCCGCGGUAAUACGGAGGACCCGAGCGUUAUCCGGAUUUAUUGGGGUUAAAGGGAGCGUAGAGGGGUUGUUAAGUCAGUUGUGAAAUUUUGCGGCUCAACCGUAAAAUUGCAAUUGAUACUGGCAGCCUUGAGUACAGUAGAGGUAGGCGGAAUUCGUGGUGUAGCGGUGAAAUGCAUAGAUAUCACGAAGAACUCCGAUUGCGAAGGCAGCUUGCUAAGCUGCCACUGACAUUGAUGCUCGAAGGUGUGGGUAUCAAACAGGAGUAGAUACCCUUGUAGUC
rnacentral:rRNA from 1 species